UUGCACUCCUCCCAAGUUCUGUAGAUACUCAGACAGAACCCACGACGCACAACAUAAUAGGAAUAUUUACCCAUUCUCUGAAAAGUGGUAAUUAGAUGUUUUCAACAUAAUGAGUUUAUAUAUAUCAGCUUUCAAUUUAUAUGUAUCAGCUUUCAAUUUAUUUAACUAUAUUUUCAGAUUUCAAUUUAACUAAUCUUUCAGAUUUCAAUUUUUAUUUAACUUUAGAUUUUGUUAACAUUAUGAGUUACCAUUACAUCAACUUAUUUCUUAUAAUAUAGUUCUCACAACUAAUCAAGUUACUAGUCUGUACUAUGUGUGUAAUUAAGAAAUAACUAAUACAAUCAUUAGUCUGUAUAUGCGUAGGAAUUAACAUAAAGUCCUACGAUGUGUGUACAAACUAAUCAGGAUACUAGUAUGUACUAUUAUUUGUGUAAACAAUUAACAAUCUAUAGAUGACAAAAACAAUCUAUAUUAAAAAAAAAUUCUUAAAGCAUUAUUAUAUGUUGAAACUUGAAAGCAUGAUUAUAUACAUCACUUAAUUAUUAAAACAUGUCAUUGGAAUCCCAACUGAUACAUGGUAGAUACCUACUGCAUAUACAGAUACCUACUGCUGACAAAAACAUGUUUUCUAAUCUGCACUAAUACAUGGUAAAAGAAAUAACCAACCUUGAAAAGCAAAUGACGAGAGAAAGUAAAGACGAGUGAAGGGGAGAAAGCGAUGGACAAGAGAAAGCGAAGCUGCCAAAAAACAUUCAUAUAUCACUACUGCAUACAAUUUUUAGAACAAAUAAAAU
rnacentral:lncRNA from 1 species